UUUAACCCCAAGGUGUUGCUGAGUCCGGCGCUGAUAGCGGCUGCCGUGGCGGCACUACUGGUGGCUCUGGGGGUUCCGGUAUUAACUGCGGUUAGUAGAAUGAAAUGGGAAGUUCAACCACAGAGCGUGAUAGUCGCGUACACGAAAACUAAAGUUAGCCAGCUGGAUCCAGAGUACCGCCGGACACGUGAAACCCGGUGGGAAUACGGGGGGACCACCCUCCAAGCCUAAAUACUCUCCAAUGACCGAUAGUGUAUAGUACUGUGAAGGAAAGGUGAAAAGAACCCCUGGCGGGGAGUGAAAUAGAACCUGAAACCUUGUGCCUACAAGCACAUAGAGCGCGUCAAUGCGUGAUAUGGUACCUUUUGUAGAAUGGUCCGGCGAGUGAAUGUCACUGGCAAGGUUAAGCUCUUCAGGAGUGCAGCCGAAGCGAAAGCGAGUCUGAAAUGGGCGUUUUAGUCAGUGGUAUUCGACCCGAAACCGGGUGACCUAGCCAUGAGCAGGCUGAAGUGGAGGUAAAACUCCAUGGAGGGCCGAACCCACUCCCGUUGAAAUGGUAGGGGAUGACUUGUGGCUAGCGGAGAAAUUCCAAUCGAACCCGGAGAUAGCUGGUUCUCUCCGAAAUAGCUUUAGGGCUAGCCUUGGAAUAGAUUACUGGAGGUAAAGCACUGAAUUGGCUAGGGGCCGAGAGGUUACUGAACCUUAUCAAACUAAGAAUGCCAGAUAAUCGUUUUCCAGGAGUCAGACAGUGGGAGAUAAGUUUCAUUGUCAAAAGGGAAACAGCCCAGACCUACAGCUAAGGUCCCAAAGUAUAGUUAAGUGGAAAAGGAUGUGGAAUUGCAUAGACAACCAGGAUGUUGGCUUAGAAGCAGCCACUCAUUAAAAGAGUGCGUAAUAGCUCACUGGUCGAGUGAUUCUGCGCCGAAAAUUUAACGGGGCUAAACUAUACACCGAAGCUUAGGAUACCGCAAGGUAUGGUAGGAGAGCGUUCUGUACGGAGUGAAGUCGUAGCGAAAGCGGCGGUGGACUGUACAGAAGUGAGAAUGCCGGAAUAAGUAGCGAGAAUUAAGUGAGAAUCUUAAUGGCCGAAAGUCUAAGGUUUUUGGAGGAAGGUUCGUCCGCUCCAAGUAAGUCGGGAGCUAAGGUCAGGCCGAAAGGCGUAGCCGAUGCACAAACGGUUGACAUUCCGUUACCGUCUACAAUUUAAACAAAGGGACACAUACAAAGCGUUUAACCCGGGCGAUGGUUGACCCGGGCGCAAGGGACUGAAAUAAGAGUAGGGAAGUAAAUGUGGCGUAUGGCGAGAAAAGCUUUGUGAAUAGAAGUAGACGCCCGUACCGCAAACCGACACAGGUGGACAGGAAGAGAAUUCUAAGGCCAGCGGGAGAAGGGUAGUUAAGGAACUCGGCAAAUUGACUCCGUAACUUCGGAAUAAGGAGUGCUCGAAAGAGCCGCAGAGAAUAGGCCCAGGCGACUGUUUAGCAAAAACACAGGUCUCUGCCAAAUCGAAAGAUGAAGUAUAGGGGCUGACACCUGCCCGGUGCCGGAAGGUUAAGAGGAGGAGUGCAAGCUCCGAAUUGAAGCCCCGGUAAACGGCGGCCGUAACUAUAACGGUCCUAAGGUAGCGAAAUUCCUUGUCGGGUAAGUUCCGACCUG
rnacentral:rRNA from 1 species